rnacentral:rRNA from 1 species
GACGAACGCUGGCGGCGUGCUUAACACAUGCAAGUCGAACGGAAAGGCCCUGCUUUUGUGGGGUGCUCGAGUGGCGAACGGGUGAGUAACACGUGAGUAACCUGCCCUUGACUUUGGGAUAACUUCAGGAAACUGGGGCUAAUACCGGAUAGGAGCUCCUGCUGCAUGGUGGGGGUUGGAAAGUUUCGGCGGUUGGGGAUGGACUCGCGGCUUAUCAGCUUGUUGGUGGGGUAGUGGCUUACCAAGGCUUUGACGGGUAGCCGGCCUGAGAGGGUGACCGGCCACAUUGGGACUGAGAUACGGCCCAGACUCAUACGGGAGGCAGGAGGGGGGAAUAUUGCACAAGGGGCGGAAGCCUGAUGCAGCAACGCCGCGUGCGGGAGGACGGCCUUCGGGUUGUAAACCGCUUUCGCCUGUGACGAAGCGUGAGUGACGGUAAUGGGUAAAGAAGCACCGGCUAACUACGU